CAUGUUUUGAGUGUGCCCCCUCAGAUAUUUGGUGUGCAUGAGGGCCCUGAACCUUUGUAUAGUUAACACAAGCUCUGCCAAGACACAGUGUAGACUACUUUUUGACAAGGGAAUUUUCACUGUGUAUGGUAGUUGUAUUUGGCUCUGGCACAAGACUUUAUGUGACAGACAACAAUCACGUACUUGAACCCAAAGUGACGGUCUACCCAGCGUCCAACCCUGAUUCGAAUGGGAAGACCACCCUGCUAUGUCUGGCUAGAAACAUGUUUCCAGACUUGGUCAAGAUUUCAUGGAAGAUGGAGGAUGCAAACGGCCGAACAGUGGAGGUGCCCAAAGCAGAGACGGAAGUGCUGGAACAGAGGAAGGAAGGACAGACGACCAGUAUGAUCAUCAUUGAUAAAGAGAAGACGUACAGGAACAAAUACAUCUGUUCUGUGGAGCAUGAAGGGGGCCCUAAAGAUGUUGAGAUACCAAAAGAUAAACCAACUGAAGCUCCUCCAACCACCAUGGCUGCACCAACCUGUCUGUUCAGAAAUGACACGCAGGAGCCACUGACUCUGCAUCUUACCGACGAUUCCUUCCAGUCAACGUUUAGUCUGAACCUGGCCUCUGUGGUUUACACAGUGAUGAUAAUGAAGAGCAUGGUGUACUGCUGUGGGAUCUCUGUCCUGCUGCACCACAGGAGCGUGAGAAGAGGACCCAGCACCUGCAGACACAUUCAUUGAAAGGAG